rnacentral:rRNA from 1 species
UAGAGUUUGAUCAUGGCUCAGAUUGAACGCUGGCGGCAGGCCUAACACAUGCAAGUCGAGCGGUAACACAAGGGAGCUUGCUCCUGAGGUGACGAGCGGCGGACGGGUGAGUAACGCCUAGGUAUCUGCCCAGUCGAGGGGAAUAACAGUUGGAAACGACUGCUAAUACCGCAUACGCCCUACGGGGGAAAGGAGGGGACCUUCGGGCCUUUCGCGAUUGGAUGAACCUAGGUGGGAUUAGCUAGUAGGUGGGGUAAUGGCUCACCUAGGCGACGAUCCCUAGCUGGUCUGAGAGGAUGAUCAGCCACACUGGAACUGAGACACGGUCCAGACUCCUACGGGAGGCAGCAGUGGGGAAUAUUGCACAAUGGGCGAAAGCCUGAUGCAGCCAUGCCGCGUGUAUGAAGAAGGCCUUCGGGUUGUAAAGUACUUUCAGCGAGGAGGAAAGCUCAAUUGUUAAUAGCAGUUGGGUGUGACGUUACUCGCAGAAGAAGCACCGGCUAACUUCGUGCCAGCAGCCGCGGUAAUACGAGGGGUGCAAGCGUUAAUCGGAAUUACUGGGCGUAAAGCGUACGCAGGCGGUUUGUUAAGCGAGAUGUGAAAGCCCCGGGCUCAACCUGGGAACUGCAUUUCGAACUGGCAAACUAGAGUCCUGU